GUCCACGCCAUAAACGAUGGAUACUUGGUGUUGGAGGUAUUGACCCCUCCAGUGCCGAAGCUAACGCGUUAAGUAUCCCGCCUGGGGAGUACGGUCGCAAGAUUAAAACUCAAAGAAAUUGACGGGGGCCCGCACAAGCGGUGGAGCAUGUGGUUCAAUUCGAUGCAACGCGAAAAACCUUACCUGGGUUUGACAUGUACUGGAAGGAUCCCAGAAAUGGGUCCGCCCGCAAGGGUCGGUACACAGGUGCUGCAUGGCUGUCGU
rnacentral:rRNA from 1 species